rnacentral:rRNA from 1 species
UACCAGCACCCCGAGUGGUCGGGACGUUUUAUUGGGCCUAAAGCAUCCGUAGCCGGUUCUACAAGUCUUCCGUUAAAUCCAACUGCUUAACAGGUGGGCUGCGGAAGAUACUAUAGAGCUAGGAGGCGGGAGAGGCAAGCGGUACUCGAUGGGUAGGGGUAAAAUCCGUUGAUCCAUUGAAGACCACCAGUGGCGAAGGCGGCUUGCCAGAAUGCGCUCGACGGUGACGGGAUGAAAGCUGGGGGAGCAAACCGG